rnacentral:rRNA from 1 species
GUAACGGCGAGUGAAGCGGGAACAGCUCAAAUUUGAAAUCUGGCGGCCUCGAGGUCGUCCGAGUUGUAAUCUGGAGAAGCGUUAUCAGCGCCGGCCCGCGUACAAGUCCCCUGGAACGGGGCGUCGCAGAGGGUGAGAAUCCCGUCUUUGACGCGGUCUUGUCCGGCGCGUUGCGAUGCGCUCUCGAAGAGUCGAGUUGUUUGGGAAUGCAGCUCAAAACGGGUGGUAAAUUCCAUCUAAAGCUAAAUACUGGCGAAAGACCGAUAGCGAACAAGUACCGUGAGGGAAAGAUGAAAAGCACUUUGGAAAGAGAGUCAAACAGUACGUGAAAUUGUUGAAAGGGAAACGCUCGGAGUCAGUCGCGUCUCYCGGGACUUCAACCGCGCCUCGGCGCGGCGUACUUCCCGGGUCAGGACGGGCCAGCGUCGAUUUCGACCGUCGUAAAAAGGCGYGAGGAACGUGGCACCUUYUCGGGUGUGUUAUAGCCUCGCGUUUCCUUAUGCGACGGUGGGGAUCGAGGGUCGCAGCGCGCCUUCACAGGCCGGGGUUCGCCCACGUAACGCGCUUAGGACGCUGGCUUAAUGGCUUCGAGCGACCCGUCUUGAAACACGGACCAAGGAGUCUAACAUGCUCGCGAGUGUUCGGGUGGAAAACCCGUGCGCGUAAUGAAAGUGAAAGGUUGGGACCCUCCUCGGAGGGGCACCGACGCCCGGACUUGAGCUACUGCGACGGUU